GUGAGGAAUAUUGCGCAAUGGAGGCAACUCUGACGCAGCCAUGCCGCGUGCAGGAAGAAGGCGCUACGCGUUGUAAACUGCUUUUAACCGGGAAGAAACCCCAGGACGUGUCCUGGGUUGACGGUACCGGAGGAAUAAGCACCGGCUAACUUCGUGCCAGCAGCCGCGGUAAUACGAAGGGUGCAAGCGUUAUCCGGAUUCAUUGGGUUUAAAGGGUGCGUAGGCGGAGCGUUAAGUCAGUGGUGGAAUCCUGCAGCUUAACUGUAGACUUGCCAUUGAUACUGGCGCUCUUGAGUGCGCUUGAAGUGGGCGGAAUGUGCCGUGUAGCGGUGAAAUGCUUAGAUAUGGCACAGAACACCAAUUGCGAAGGCAGCUCACUAAGGCGAUACUGACGCUGAGGCACGAAAGCGUGGGGAUCGAACAGGAUUAGAUACCCCUGUAGUCC
rnacentral:rRNA from 1 species